rnacentral:lncRNA from 1 species
GGAUGCAGGAGUCAGAGCCAAGCCCUGUGCCCCAGGGCACCAGCCGGUCGGCAGAACUGGGACUGGAGUCCAGCUUCUGAUGACUGUCUGAGGUGGGUACCAAUAGAAAGAAAGGGGAGGAAGAAAGAGUCUGCCACUGCUCUUCAAGAAGUUGCUGUGACCCACAGGGAUGUCAGGUGACCUGCUCCAGCCUCACUCGCUAGCUCAGUCACGGGUACGCCAUUAUCCUCCAGCUACUGUGAA